CACUCUACGGGAGGCAGCAGUGGGGAAUUUUGGACAAUGGGCGAAAGCCUGAUCCAGCAAUGCCGCGUGAGUGAAGAAGGCCUUCGGGUUGUAAAGCUCUUUUGUCAGGGAAGAAACGGUGAAAGCUAAUAUCUUUUGCUAAUGACGGUACCUGAAGAAUAAGCACCGGCUAACUACGUGCCAGCAGCCGCGGUAAUACGUAGGGUGCAAGCGUUAAUCGGAAUUACUGGGCGUAAAGCGUGCGCAGGCGGUUUUGUAAGUCUGAUGUGAAAUCCCCGGGCUCAACCUGGGAAUUGCAUUGGAGACUGCAAGGCUAGAAUCUGGCAGAGGGGGGUAGAAUUCCACGUGUAGCAGUGAAAUGCGUAGAUAUGUGGAGGAACACCGAUGGCGAAGGCAGCCCCCUGGGUCAAGAUUGACGCUCAUGCACGAAAGCGUGGGGAGCAAACAGGAUUAGAAACCCGAGUAGUCCCAU
rnacentral:rRNA from 1 species